rnacentral:tRNA from 1 species
GGGGAUAUAGCUCAGUUGGUAGAGCUCCGCUCUUGCAGAGAGGCGAUGGUUUACCCUGUG